UGCACAUAAUUUCUGAUGAACAAAUUAUAAAACAAAUGUGGCCCUUCAUUUCAUUUCAAAAUCUUGAUGUGGCCCCUGAGCCAAAAAGUUUGCCCUCCCCUGGACUAGAGCAUGGCUUUACAGGAACAUGUAGUCCUUGGACUGUACUGGAUAGGCAAGAUCUAUAAAAAAAUAUAAUAAUACAAAUUCAAUGUAACAUUUAACACAAAAUGUACUACAAAUAACCUUUUUCUGUUGCAGACAAUUAGGGCAGAGAUUAAGGUGGCACUGGUAGAACACAAUGUACUGCUGGUCGAGGCUGGUUACCUUGGGCCUCUGUAUAAGGAAUGUUUAAUUGAUUCCCAGAUUUCAAAAAAGUUUGCCCACAAAGACCACUUUAAUUAAGGUGUUGCACCCCACAGCUUGAUUAAUUACGAGAACUGAUGAUGAAGAUGAAAAACAGUCAACACUCCUGUCCUUAGAGGGGGCGACCUGCUCCUCCGAAGAGGAAGAGUCGGAACAACUCCAGAACAGUUCCCCUCAGCCUCCGACCCCCGACUCCUGAAACGAGUCCUCCUCAGAGAGGAGAGAGUGGACAUCAGCGAGAGGGACCACCUCAGCGAAGUACGCCAUUCUGUCCAUCCUCACCUGCAAAGGGAGGACAGCGCAGGCAGUGAACUCUAGCUCGUUGAUGGCACCGUCGCGAGCAUGCAGCGGUCCCAGACACGCACAGCACAGUGUGUGCACGUCGACCACCGUGUCCAGCUCGCUACACCGGCAGGCCGACAUAGGGCAAAGUUUUACUAGUUAACACUACUAUUUUGGCUAGUUGUUCAUCUAACAAUAAUUGUGUCAUAAAUGGAUAAGUUUGAUUUAGAAUUUUGCUUAAGUUGUGUUUGUUGAAAUAUUUUGAUUUGUUGCAGCAAAAAGCAACCCCCAAGCCCUCCCCCCCUUAUGUGCAGCGGACAGGAUCUGUGAAAAAAUGACUGAGCCUGGAGAAUUGUAGUAGGAUUCUACAGUAGUAUGAACCACUGGCCAGUUACUUCAAAUCGUUGGAUGAGAAACCUAUAGGUUCAAGAGACUCAUGCAGGCAUUCUCUGACCCAGUGACUGAGAUCAACCUGCUCUUUUACCAAGAUGAUUACCUUCAUCCACAAACUUUGCUCAAAGUUUGUAAAGCCUGCAGCUCUUCGGAACCUGGAGCCACAAGAAAUCCACUAUGAGGAAUAGACAAACCAACUGCCAGGAGCAGAGCUGAAUGUUGGUUAAACAACAAGAUCCAAGAUUAACAGGCUUCUUGAGGCUGGAGACAUCCAAACUACCCUUCACAUAAUUUUAGGAAAUCUCACUCCAAGCUAUCUUCAGGAGUUGGCAGGCCUGAAUCAACCAAUCUGGAGGUUUCCUACUACCCUUACUAAGCAUAUCAGUGCUGUUCAUAACUAGAUUAAUUGGAUCAAGACAGGGUAAAUUAUAUAAAUCAUGGCCAGAAAUUGUUUUUGGUACUGCAGCACCGGUAGAAAAAAUGAAGAGAAUCCAAAACAUCACUUGUGACAACAAUCUGUUAAAAAUGAUUUGGACUUAAAGAGAACAAGAGAAGCUGGGGCAAGACACUGAUACUGGCCAAUCAUCACUAUAUACGUGUGUUUGUGUGUCUAUGUUCAUAAUAUGUAUAAGGAAAAUGUGUGAUUUACCAAACAAUUCUACAAGCAUUGUAGGAGAUGAUAAAUACCAAUUGUUCUUAGCCUCAGUGUCCCCUUGACAGUCUGUUGAGCCUCAGUGUUUGAAAACUUAGUUUUGCUGAAUGGCAUGUUUUAUCUGCUGAGCCAAUCUGUACUUUCUGCAAAAAUGGCCCAUCUGUAUCUGAAAACUCGGGAAAAUGAAUCAUGUGCCAAAUAUUUCAUCUGAGAAACCAAAGCAAUCUUAUAUUACAUUUCUCAUCUUCUGAGUCUACAGUAAUAUAUCAACAAUUGUUUUACACAUGGAAAUCUCAAUAGAUUUUUCAUGACAAAUGCACUGAAGGUAAAAUUAUUUGACAUACAUAUGUUAGCCUGUUAAGAAACAUUGCAAAGAAAAAACAAUCAAACUGAAGCCUAACUGAAUUAUUCUCACAAUUACAUGAACUUUUAAAAUAAUAUUCUGUAGCUCUCAAACGUAUUGGACUUCUCCACAUUUUCCAAUUGCUACAUGAAAUGAAAAUGGAUUUAAUCAGAAGAUUUUGCCAUCAAAAUAUUAACAAACUUAACAGAAUACAUCUGCAAAUUGUUUGAAAUGCAUUGCUUAUAUUAAACAGAAAAUAGCCGAUUUAGUAAGUAUUACUUGCCUUUACUAUGUCACCCCUGAACAAGCUGCUAUAUUUAGCACAACCGUAACACCCCACACACACCAUAGCUGCAGUUUUCACACUAAAUCGGGCUACUUUUCAAACAAUGUUGCGAUUUUUUGGCAUACUUCUGAACUUCACAGCAGCAGCACCUUUUCUGUCUUUAUAUUGCUAUAUUUAGUGUUUCUAUGCUGUUAUCACAUCAGACGUCAGCUACGGUAGGAUCCGCGGUUUCACCUGCGUAUAUACUGCAUCUUAUGUUGUGUUACGGGGGAUUUGGUUCACUUGUAAAAUAGUCUAUAUUGUGCACCAACAAAAGUUGGGCUAGUUUUCAGUCAUUUUGGGAUGGAUUUGAGCAGUCGUUGGGCCAGAAAUGUUUGCUUAACCCGGUUAAUACUGUCCUGAAAACCCCUAAUGCAGCGAGAUGCUUCUCUGGAAUGCUUAUCAGCAUGUAGUAGAUCAAAUGUUUAAAAAAAUAUACAUACAAGCUUAUUAUUGUAAUGUUUGACUACUUUAUAUUCAGUGUUACAAUAUUUUUAUUUUAU